UCCCUAGAUGUUCUGGGCCGCACGCGCGCUACACUGAACAGUUCAACAAGUCUUAACCUUGGCCGAUAGGUCUGGGUAAUCUUUGAACGCUGUUCGUGAUUGGGAUAGACCUUUGCAAUUAUGGGUCUUCAACGAGGAAUUCCUAGUAAACGCAAGUCAUCAGCUUGCAUUGAUUACGUCCCUGCCCUUUGUACACACCGCCCGUCGCACCUACCGAUUGAAUGGUCCGGUGAAAUCUCGGGACGGCGGCUUGGUCGCUUGCGUCCGACUGCUGAAACUUGAUUAAACCAUAUCAUUCAGAGGAAGGUGAANUCGUANCA
rnacentral:rRNA from 1 species